UGAAGACUAACACUAUCCAGCAUAGGGCACGAAAGGCACCUUCCAAGUUUUAACCACAAACUCCUUCAGCCAAGCAUGGAAGAAUGACAUCAAUUGACUCAAGGCCAGAUCCGGGAAAACAGGAAUGCAAUUGUGAUCCGGGAGAACAGGCAUGGCUAAUUGUGCGGUCGCUGUUGGAAAUAUCUCGUUACUCAUCAUAUUACCUCCUACCGAUGCACAAUACUGUGAAGCAUUCUCUGCCCAUCAAACUGACCGACGAAGCACAGCACCCAAGCCCUUUUGAUUUGCUACAAGUUAAAUUUGCAUCAAGUGCAUCCAAGAAAUUUUGUCCGGAGAAAUCUUGCCAUUGGUGGUUGUAUUGGAUUUACGCGAGAUGAUGUUUCAACCAAUGUGGAGCACCGGUUGCUGCUGGUUGCGUUGGAU